rnacentral:sRNA from 1 species
UAUUUUGUAAUCUUAAGCCUCCACAUAAUGGUAGAAAUAUUUGUAAGAAAAUUUAUGAUUGCUUGAAGGAAUGUGGUUUAGAGAAAAACAUACUUACUAUCACACUGGAUAAUGCUUCUGUAACAAAAGAAUGCAAACUAUUCUUAAGUAUCGUCUUCAGAGUCGUAUCAGGUUGUUGUGUGGAGAAAGUUUUUGCAUGUGAGGUGUUAUGCACAUGUGUUGAAACUGAUAGUACAAGCAGUGUUAGAAUUAACGACUAGCCUGUUGGAGAAUAUUAGAGAGUGUCAAGUUUGUAAAAGCAAGUGAGUCAAGAAAAAUUCUUUUACAUUAUGCAUAGAGAGUGUAGGGAUCAAGAGUCGAACUAUGUUAUCUCUAAAUAUCACAACUCGUUGGAAUUCUAGAUAUGAAAUGCUAGUUAGAGCUUUGAAGUUGAGAAAAGCAUUUGCUAGUUUGAAUUUGUAUGAAAGAGGUUCAGUUUUUUACCUAUAGAAGAAGAGUGAGAUCGUGGAGAGAAAAUUGUGACCUCUUGAAGCCUUUUAAUACCAUCACUAUAUACUUUUCAGGAGUGAAAUAUCCUACGCACUACAAGAAAAAGGUUAAUUCCAACCGACAUAUUAGUUGGUAAUUUGUAAGAAUUAUAUGUCUCCAAUAUUGCUUUCAAUAUCACGUAUAUUUGUUGGAAUAUGAUCGUUGGAAAUUUGCAUUUGUCGCAAAUUUAUUGGAAACGUUUAUAUCGAGUAAAUGAUAUGGCCAAUUCGUUGGAUACUUCUGAUAAUUUAUUUGUUGGACAUUUGUUGGAAUUCACUGUGAAGUUUCUAACAAAUUGUUCUAACAUAUACUUUGUAAUUGUGAAAAAUUGAGUUGUUGCUUAAGAAGAAUGUUAAUUGUAAUGAUGUUGAUGUAAGAGAAAUGGCUAAGAAGAUGCAAAAGAAGUUUCUUAAGUAUUUGGAUCAAUAUAGUGUUAUUCUAGCUAUGGGGGAUGCCUUAGAUCCGAGACUAAAACUGAAGAUACUUAGGCCAACUUAUGACAAAGUGGAUCCCAUUACUGCUGAGGAGAAGGUUGCUAUAGUGAGGAAAAAUCUGAAUUCCGCUUUAUGAAGAAUAUCAAACUAUAUCUGCAAGUUCUUCAAAGUCUUCAACCACACUUACUCUACACGAGCUUCUUAGUGAAUCACCACUUAAAGAAGAUGUGAAUGAUGUAAGUAUAACAAUAUAUUUGAAUAUCUUUCACUAGUUCUCGUUUGAUUUAUCUUGUGUGUAUUUGUAUAUUCACAGGAUCUUUUUGAGCUUGAAUGUGACCUCAUAUCUGCUUCAAAAAAUACCAAGUCAACUUUGGAAAUCUAUUUAGGUGAUGAACCAAGACUAGAGAUGAAGACUUUCUCUGACAUGAAAAUCUUAAGCUUUUGCAAAGAGAAUCAACAUAUGUGUGGUGAUUUAAUUUCAAUGGCAUCUGAUUUAUUUAGCAUCACAAUCACCAUAGUAGCAUCUGAGACUCGGGUUUUAGUGUUGGAGGCCGGAUGUUAAAUACUUUUAAAAAUGGCCUUCUUCCCCAAUAUGUGCAAGCAUUACUUUGCACUCGCAAUUGGCUACGUGGAUAUGCAGAGCUUUGAAGGUAAAAUUGCAGUAUUAAAUU